GACGAACGCUGGCGGCGUGCUUAACACAUGCAAGUCGAACGGAAAGGCCCUGCUUGCAGGGUGCUCGAGUGGCGAACGGGUGAGUAACACGUGGGUGAUCUGCCCCUUACUUUGGGAUAAGCCUGGGAAACUGGGUCUAAUACUGGAUAGGACCAUGCUGUAGGUGGUGUGGUGGAAAGAUUAGUUUCGGUAAGGGAUGAGCUCGCGGCCUAUCAGCUUGUUGGUGGGGUAAUGGCCUACCAAGGCGUCGACGGGUAGCCGGCCUGAGAGGGUGGACGGCCACACUGGGACUGAGAUACGGCCCAGACUCCUACGGGAGGCAGCAGUGGGGAAUAUUGCACAAUGGGCGCAAGCCUGAUGCAGCGACGCCGCGUGGGGGAUGACGGCCUUCGGGUUGUAAACUCCUUUCAGCCAUGACGAAGCCCUUGUGGUGACGGUAGUGGUAGAAGAAGCACCGGCUAACUACGUG
rnacentral:rRNA from 1 species